UACGGAGGGUCCAAGCGUUAUCCGGAAUCAUUGGGUUUAAAGGGUCCGUAGGCGUUUGUAAGUCAGUGGUGAAAGCCCAUCGCUCAAGCGGUGGAACGGCCAUUGAUACUGCAAGACUUGAAUUAUUAGGAAGUAACUAGAAUAUGUAGUGUAGCGGUGAAAUGCUUAGAGAUUACAUGAAUACCAAUUGCGAAGGCAGGUUACUACUAAUGGAUUGACGCUGAUGGACGAAAGCGUGGGGAGCGAACAGG
rnacentral:rRNA from 1 species